GGUUGAUGGCGACCGGCGCACGGGUGAGUAACACGUAUCCAACCCCCUUAUUAUUCCGGGAUAGCCUUUCGAAAGAAAGAUUAAUACCGUAUAGCAUAACGAGAAGGCAUCUUCUUGUUAUUAAAGAAUUUCGAUAAUCGAUGGGGAUGCGUUCCAUUAGUUUGUUGGCGGGGUAACGGCCCACCAAGACAUCGAUGGAUAGGGGUUCUGAGAGGAAGGUCCCCCACAUUGGAACUGAGACACGGUCCAAACUCCUACGGGAGGCAGCAGUGAGGAAUAUUGGUCAAUGGACGAGAGUCUGAACCAGCCAAGUAGCGUGAAGGAUGACUGCCCUAUGGGUUGUAAACUUCUUUUAUAUGGGAAUAAAGUGCAGUAUGUAUACUGUUUUGUAUGUGCCAUACGAAUAAGGAUCGGCUAACUCCGUGCCAGCAGCCGCGGUAAUACGGAGGAUCCGAGCGUUAUCCGGAUUUAUUGGGUUUAAAGGGAGCGUAGGCGGAUUAUUAAGUCAGUUGUGAAAGUUUGCGGCUCAACCGUAAAAUUGCAGUUGAUACUGGUAGUCUUGAGUGCAGCAGAGGUAGGCGGAAUUCGUGGUGUAGCGGUGAAAUGCUUAGAUAUCACGAAGAACUCCGAUUG
rnacentral:rRNA from 1 species